UACAGAGGUCUCAAGCGUUGUUCGGAUUCAUUGGGCGUAAAGGGUGCGUAGGCGGCGCGGUAAGUCGGGUGUGAAAUCUCGGAGCUUAACUCCGAAACUGCAUUCGAUACUGCCGUGCUUGAGGACUGGAGAGGAGACUGGAAUUUAUGGUGUAGCGGUGAAAUGCGUAGAUAUCGUAAGGAAGACCAGUGGCGAAGGCGGGUCUCUGGACAGUUCCUGACGCUGAGGCACGAAGGUCAGGGGGAGCAAAACGGG
rnacentral:rRNA from 1 species